GUGGAUAGGAAAUGAGGUGUAAAAUUAUCCAAGUCAGCAGCACUAUUCACGUUCUGGGCAGUCUGCUUAGGGUUCGGCUUAACCCUAAGCAGCUUUUUAGCAGAUUUCAGCUUCUGGUCGCACUGUCUGCUUAAGGUUAAGUAGACCUUCAGCAAAUNUUAGAGUAGAAUGGACUCUUUUGCUGGUGCUUGACUUGUGCUGCUCCUUAACUACUGCCGC
rnacentral:misc_RNA from 1 species